UCCCACAACAUCUACCAGUCCCACGUCUGCAGGUGAGCAUGUUCCUGGACUGGGAUGUAGCCUCAUGAAGAACACAGUAAUUCAGCAUCUGAGUCUGAUUUAAACUUGGUUUCCGUUUCUGUCUUGUAUUGUUUCAGUUCCUUUACACAUGGUCACUUCCACAACAUAUACUAGUCCCACAGUUUCUUUACACCCAGUCACUUCUACAACAUCUACUAGUUCUACAUCUACUGUUCCUUUACACAUGGUCACUUCCACAACAUCUACUAGUCCCACUACUACAGAUGAAUGAGUUGCCAAACUGGAAUGUGGUUUUCAAAAGAAGCGCCUCAUAUUAAUUGUCUUCAUGAAAAACACAGUAAUUUAGCAUCUAUUUCCAUAUGUUAUUGUUUCAGGUCCUUUACCGCCAAUCACUUCCACAACAUCUACCAGUCAUACUUCUACAGGUUAGUGUAAUGCUGGACUUCAUCCAAGUUUGUUUUUGGUGACUAUUUAUGUUUAGGUCUCAUUAAUGUUAUUUAGAAACCCUCAA